UAUAUAAGAGGCCUUCUCUUCUCGGGUCUUUCUGGAGUCAGGAAAAGCUGGGUUGAGAGGGUGUAAAAAAAAAAAA
rnacentral:pre_miRNA from 1 species